rnacentral:tRNA from 1 species
CAUUAGAUGACUGAAAGCAAGUAAUGGUCUCUUAAACCACUCAAUAGUAAAUUAGCGUCUACUUCUAAUGA